rnacentral:lncRNA from 1 species
AUGCAUGCAGGACCCAAGAGAACCCAGGAUCGAAAGCAGAGCAGCCUGCUGAGAACAUACUUCUUGAGCAGUGAUUGGCACAGCUUAGGCAAAGUUGCAAUGGCAGUACGUUGCUGGUUUUUUAAGAACUUAUGGUCAUUAUGGAAGAUAAAUGACAGUCCUUGGAGCUCAUGGCUGAAGUACACAUUAGUCACUGGUAAAUGAUGUAUAAAAAAUAUUCAGCUUGCAAAAAGAUAAUGGUGGUUCCUAUUUGAAAAUGCAGAAAAAUGCACAUAUCUGGAGCACAAAAGUGUCUCAUCAAUAUCUCUGUGGGUAGAAAACUAACCUGUCAAGAGGAAAAUGUUGGGGAGAUGAAGAUAUUUAUGCACGUACUGCACUGAUCAUAAUGAUGUAAAGGACUAUUAAAGCAAACUUAAAAUAUUAGAUACUGCAAAUAUACAACUUAAUUUUUUUUUUUUUUUUUUUUUUUCCCAUGCAACCUAGGAAUGCUCUAAGAAAUUUUGAUAAGGAAUUGCUCAUUCUACAUCUUUGACUGCCAGUGAUCCUACCUUUCCCCAUUUCACUGUUACCUAUAAGUUAAGUAGUUAUUCUGGAUUUGAUCUUUUAUUAAUGGCAAAGUCCUUCAUUCAUUGCAGUGCUGGGACUUGAAAGCAGGGAAGACCAGAGGAAAGAGUCUGUUUUGGUAACUGGUAUUGCCAGGACUGUAGCAGCAUCAGUGACAUGGAGAUACAGUGACCUUAUGCCUACAGUCCUCUCUGGCUGCCUUCUCCUAGACGAUGAUCAUAAAAUCAUAGAAUAAUCAAGGUUGGAAAUGACUAAAUGAUGGUCAUCAUUUGAUGACUAAAGAUCAUCUAUUCCAACCGUUGACCCAUCACCACCAUGAUGAUUCCCAGGUGUAAUUGGUGCCUUAUUACAGGGAAAAUCUCACUGCCUUCCAGGAAGGGGGCAAUUUUGCCACUUUCUCAGCGUGAUUAUCUCAUUUUAGGACUCCAGUCUCAAGAUUUUGGUUAGCAGCAGACCUUGCUGAGAACCACAUCUCAGUGCCAGGCUCUGUGUGCCAUAGCUGCUAUGGUGAAGGAAGCAGCAGCCAGGAGAGGAGUAUUUAAUUUCUAGUCUCUGCUCCAGAUCUGUUUCUCCUGUGACACUUCACUGAAUCAAUUCAACACACUCCUCUGGAAGAAAACAGAUAUGUAUUUUACACAUA